rnacentral:sRNA from 1 species
CCAGUACUCCCUUUGUCACUGGGAGAUCAAAAUGUAAAAGUUCUGUGGGGGCAGAUAGGCAAGAAAAUUCUUCUGCUCUCACCCCAGCUUCUCGCUUAUUCAAACUUGUUAUCUGGUUCGCACCAAAGUCAUUGCCCUGUCUAUGUGUGUAUGGGAUGCGUCAAGAAAACAGAGUUGGGACAGCAUGAAGAAGGGUCGGUGUACUCGAGAGAACUGCAAGUACCUUCACCCCCCUCCACACUUAAAAACGCAGCUGGAGAUUAAUGGGCGGAACAAUCUGAUUCAACAGAAGACUGCCGCAGCCAUGUUCGCCCAGCAGAUGCAGCUUAUGCUCCAAAACGCUCAAAUGUCAUCACUUGGUUCUUUUCCUAUGACUCCAUCACUUCCAGCUAAUCCUCCCAUGGCUUUCAGUCCUUACAUACCACAUCCUGGGAUGGGCCUCGUUCCUGCAGAACUUGUACCAAAUACACCUGUUCUGAUUCCUGGAAACCCACCUCUUGCAAUGCCAGGAGCUGUUGGCCCAAAACUGAUGCGUUCAGAUAAACUGGAGGUUUGCCGAGAAUUUCAGCGUGGAAAUUGUACCCGUGGGGAGAAUGAUUGCCGCUAUGCUCACCCUACUGAUGCUUCCAUGAUUGAAGCGAGUGAUAAUACUGUGACAAUCUGCAUGGAUUACAUCAAAGGUCGAUGCUCGCGGGAGAAAUGCAAGUACUUUCAUCCUCCUGCACACUUGCAAGCCAAACUCAAGGCAGCUCAUCACCAGAUGAACCAUUCAGCUGCCUC